CCAGACUCCUACGGGAGGCAGCAGUGGGGGAUAUUGCACAAUGGGGGGAACCCUGAUGCAGCGACGCCGCGUGGGUGAAGAAGCGCCUCGGCGCGUAAAGCCCUGUCAGCAGGGAAGAAAAUGACGGUACCUGAAGAAGAAGCCCCGGCUAACUACGUGCCAGCAGCCGCGGUAAUACGUAGGGGGCAAGCGUUAUCCGGAUUUACUGGGUGUAAAGGGGGCGCAGACGGCGAUGCAAGCCAGGAGUGAAAGCCCGGGGCCCAACCCCGGGACUGCAUUUGAAACUGUCAGGCUGGAGUGCAGGAGAGGUAAGUGGAAUUCCUAGUGUAGCGGUGAAAUGCGUAGAUAUUAGGAGGAACACCAGUGGCGGAGGCGGCCUGCUGGACGAUGACUGACGUUGAGGCUCGAAAGCGUGGGGAGCAAACAGGAUUAGAUACCCCAGUA
rnacentral:rRNA from 1 species